rnacentral:rRNA from 1 species
AGUGAACGCUGGCGGUAGGCCUAACACAUGCCAGUCGAACGGCAGCACAGUAAGAGCUUGCUCUUACGGGUGGCGAGUGGCGGACGGGUGAGGAAUACAUCGGAAUCUACUUUUUCGUGGGGGAUAACGUAGGGAAACUUACGCUAAUACCGCAUACGACCUACGGGUGAAAGCAGGGGAUCUUCGGACCUUGCGCGAUUGAAUGAGCCGAUGUCGGAUUAGCUAGUUGGCGGGGUAAAGGCCCACCAAGGCGACGAUCCGUAGCUGGUCUGAGAGGAUGAUCGGCCACACUGGAACUGAGACACGGUCCAGACUCCUACGGGAGGCAGCAGUGGGGAAUAUUGGACAAUGGGCGCAAGCCUGAUCCAGCCAUACCGCGUGGGUGAAGAAGGCCUUCGGGUUGUAAAGCCCUUUUGUUGGGAAAGAAAAGCAGCAGGUUAAUACCCCGCUGUUCUGACGGUACCCAAAGAGUAAGCACCGGCUAACUUCGUG